CCAAUCAGCGGCUCCCCGAGCACCUGAGGCUGAGUGCGACACACUUGGGCCUCGCGUUUCCUUCGGGCACAAGUGGUCGGUGCUCUGGGCUGUCGAGAACACACCGACCCCAUUAAAAGAACGGAGUAUCUUGUGACCACCUGUCCUUGCUGGGCUGGAUGCUGAAGCAGUCUCCAGGGGGUAUGCUGUCGACAAGUUCCACAGCUCCAGGUAAACUCACCUCCGACAGCAAAGUCAUCUGGAAUUCCUG